AAUUUUAUGUCGUAAACUCUUCAAACCAAAUAAAAAUCCACUCCAUAAAACUUUCUUGAGAAAUUGACAGGUGCGAUAAUGAUAAUUGUUCAUUGGAGAUUGAUAAAAAUAUCCGCUGUAUGAAUAAUUAGCAUUAGAUUCAUUCGUUGAUUGUGCGUGAACUCACGUGCGCCAAAUGAUUAUGUAAUUGUGUAAUUAAUGCAUGCGAUGCAGUUGAACAGUUAAAAGACAGUGAGUUGUAGGGCAGAUGGUUGUGAUGAAGUUUUUUCAUUCCGAUCUCGUCUCUUUAUAUUGUUUUUUAUUCUCUUUUUGUUGUUUCUUAUCGUAACGCCACCACAGGGAGACUCAGUGGCAGCGUUGGCGCGUAUGUACGCACUUCUUAAUCGACAUUAACGAACUUAGUAUUGAGUAGUCAUGAAUAAUACACGGCAAAAAUCAGUUGGAUACUUUCAACAAUUAAGACAUGCCGGCAAAUUGUGGUAUAUUGUUAAUCCGUAUGAGUCGAGUUUUGAAUUUGUUGAACAAGUGCCUGAUUAUCAGACCGAGGUCUGGCCCUCGUUUUUUGUACUGAUUAUUCUCGAGCAGAUAAUUCUUCUAUCAAAAAAACGGAGUAAUUUUCGAUUAAAUGAUCACAUUACGUCGCUCUCCAACUGGAUUAUACCAGAGUCUGGACGGAUAUUUUUUCGCGGGGCCGAGUACUUUCUAUAUAUCAAGAUUUAUGAGAACUUUCGGAUAGAGAUUUUGCCAUGGAAUUCCUUGUGGACGUGGUAUUUUACAGCUCUAGGGGUGGAUUUUUGCUAUUAUUGGGUUCAUCGAGCUAAUCAUGAAAUUCACUUCUUGUGGGCUCAGCAUCAAGUUCAUCACAGCAGUGAGGAAUUCAAUCUUGUGGUUGGACUGCGGCAAUCUGUCUUGCAACAGUGGUGCAGCUUCAUGUUCUACUUACCCAUGGCUGUCUUCAUACCACCGUCCCACUUCAUAGCCCAUCACCAAUUCAAUCUUAUCUAUCAAUUAUGGAUUCAUACAACUGUAAUCGAUGACCUCGGGCCUCUCGAGCUCGUUUUCAAUACUCCCAAGCAUCAUCGGGUGCAUCAUGGAUGCAAUUUGUAUUGUCUCGACAAAAAUUACGGAGGUGUUCUUAUAAUCUGGGAUCGUCUAUUUGGCACAUUUACUGUGGAAAAAAAGAAGGAUGAAAUAAUCUACGGCCUCGUAGUCAGUCCUCGAACAUUUAAUCCUCUUUAUCUUCAGACAUUCUAUACAAAAUCAAUGUUCGUUAAGAGCUUGAAGAUGAGGAAUCUUGGCAAUAAAUUGGCGGGAAUCUGGAAAGGACCGAGUUGGUUUCCAGGUGCUCCGAGACUUGGCCUUGAUGAGUACAAAGUUAAUGUGACCUCAAGAAUAAAAUAUGAUCGUCAGGUAUCCCUGUGGCUCAGGAUUUAUAUUCUUCUUCAUUUUAUCGUCGUUUUCUACGUGCAUUGUCAGAUUUAUGGUGACAAACAAGACUGCAAUAUAUUCAACCAAAGUACAUUAAUCAUGAAUAAUAUAUUGGCACUGACGAGCAUCGGUUUAUUGUUCGACAAGUACAAAUAUGCAGAGCUUAUUGAGCUCUCAAGGUGCAUCAUUCAGUUGAUCAUCAACAGGGAUGACUUCAAUGAGACCAAAGUACCAUUCAAAGUCUUUGUUAUUGUCUACCUUUUGUCCUGCGGCGUCUGGAUCAUCAGGAUAAUUAGGGACUGUCGAAUGAAGAAAUUGUCUGAGAGAGUUUAGGAUUCGGUGGAAUUAUUUGAGAAUCGGAGGAUUAGGUAUGCACGCAGCUUUCACAUCACGUAUCGUCGAUUUUUCUUUGAUAUAAGGAAAGAUGGAAUGGAGCAGCCGUACAAUCCAAGAAUUCUAAUCCACGUGGCGUGAUUAUUGGGGCUUGAGUAUUGAUUCAGUGAUGUAAUAAUUUCUUAAGCUGUUGAUAAAUUUUGAUUUACAGUGGAA